AAUGAACGCUGGCGGCAGGCCUAAAACAUGCAAGUCGAACGAGGGGCGGAGGGGUGAGUAAGGUCUGGGAAACUGCCUGAUGGAGGGGGUUAAGUACUGGAAACGGUAGUAAAUACGGCCUAACAUCCGAUGUGACAAGAGUGUAUUAGCUUGGUGGUGGGGGAACGGCUCACCAAGGCGAAGAUCCCUAGCUGGUCUGAGAGGAUGACCGGCCACACUGGAACUGAGACACGGUCCAGACUCCGACGGGAGGCAGCAGUGGGGAAUAUUGCACAAUGGGCGCAAGCCUGACGCAGCCAUGCCGCGUGUGUGAAGAAGGCCGUCGGGUUGUAAAGUACUUUCAGCGGGGAGGCGUUACCCGCAGAAGAAGCACCGGCUAACUCCGUGCCAGCAGCCGCGGUAAUAC
rnacentral:rRNA from 1 species